AAUUUUUUGUUCUUCAAUUUUGGAUUCUAUUCUGGGCAACUUUUCUUAUGGGAGUAAUUCAUUGGUGGUGAGUCUGGAUACUUAUGUUUCCAAUUUGAGUUAUAUGCUUCUUGACCAAAAAAAAAAAUUUGAGUUAUAUGCUUCUCCCUCCUCUACUUUGUGAAAAAGCAAAUCAUUAAUAAUAUGUACAGUAUUAGUAUGAUAUGGAUGGUUCAACUUUUAUUAAAAAUCUCUUCGUCCCAUUCAUCAUUAAUGAUCAUUCCUGCAAUUUAUUCACUUUUAAAAGACAUCAUUUUUUUAAAAAUUAUAAUCAUAAGUUUGAGUCAUUUGACUCAUUUCUUCAUAUUGUAAAAUCAAUUCUAUAUACUAAGCAAUUGGUGGAAAUUUUCUUGAGUGAAAUAUACUUUGUUUCAGGCUAAUGCUUAUGUAAAGGUAAAGGGAGCAAUUGCUUGAAAUUUUCCAACACAGGCAAAUGAAGGUAGCAAUGUCAUGUUUCUCAAUCAAAUCUUGCUUUAGUUUGGUGGCAAUAUGUUUGGAAUCUGCUCAGCCCUUCAAUCUAUGUCCUGCAAGAACAAAUGAAAGCAAAAGGCAUGGAAGAUGUAUGGCGAGAAGAGUUGAUAGAGGACAUUGAGCAAAAGAUUGGGAUUCAAGGAAAUGGAAAAUGCAAGAAAGAAAGUGGAACUUGCUUACCAAACAUCAAUUUUUCCAAGACAUUCUGAAAUAACUUUUCCCAGCAUCAUUUUCCGCGGCUAAUAUCCAAGCAACUUAUUCUCUAGACUAUUGGUCAUUCUGUGAAAAGCUUUGUUAAUUUAUUUUGCGUGUGUUUGCAGCUGUUUGGAUUAUUAAGAACAUAUGAGAAUAUGGUUUGGAUUACUUAAAAUCACAUUGUGCUUGCCACAUGUUAGUCAACUGAUAAA